CCCUUAGAUGUUCUGGGCUGCACGCGCGCUACACUGACGCACGCAACAGGUGCCUGCUCCGAGAGGACUGGGUAAUCAUUUGAGUGUGCGUCGUGAUGGGGAUAGAAUAUUGUAAUUAUUACUCUUCAACGAGGAAUUCCUAGUAAGCGCCAGUCAGCAGCUUGCGCUGAUUACGUCCCUGCCCUUUGUACACACCGCCCGUCGCUCCUACCGAUGGGUGAUCCGGUGAAUGAUUCGGACUUCAGCGGCUCCCCUGGGGUGCGCCGGAGAAAGUUUUGUGAACCUUAUCACUUGGAGGAAGGAGAAGUCGUAAUA
rnacentral:rRNA from 1 species